GACAGAGGGUGCAAACGUUGUUCGGAAUUACUGGGCGUAAAGCGCGUGUAGGCGGCCCUGCAAGUCGGAUGUGAAAUCCCACGGCUCAACCGUGGAAGUGCAUUCGAAACUGCAGGGCUAGAGUCCUGGAGAGGAAGGUGGAAUGCUUGGUGUAGAGGUGAAAUUCGUAGAUAUUCGGAAGAACACCAGUGGCGAAGGCGACUCACUGGCCCGGUACUGACGCUGAGGAGCGAAAGCGUGGGGAGCAAACAGG
rnacentral:rRNA from 1 species